AACUUAAGCAUAUCAAUAAGCGGAAGGAAAGAAGCUAACAAGGAUCCCCGUAGUAACUGCGAGUGAAGUGGGAAAAGCUCAAAUUUGAAAUCUGAUGGGCCUAUUUUGGCUUGUCCGAGUUGUAAUCUAGAGAAGCGUCUUUCCGUUGCUGGACCGUGUACAAGUCUCUUGGAAUAGAGCGUCGUAGAGGGUGAGAAUCCCGUCUUUGACACGGACUACCAGUGCUUAGUGAUGCGCUCUCAAAGAGUCGAGUUGUUUGGGAAUGCAGCUCAAAAUGGGUGGUAAACUCCAUCUAAAGCUAAAUAUUGGCGAGAGACCGACAGCGAACAAGUACCGUGAGGGAAAGAUGAAAAGCACUUUGGAAAGAGAGUUAAAAGUACGUGAAAUUGUCGAAAGGGAAGCACUUGAAGUCAGCCAUGCUGCUUGAGACUCAGCCUGGCUUUUGCUUGGUGCAUUUUCUAGUGGACGGGCCAGCAUCACUUUUGGCUGCGGGAUAAAGGUCGCAGGAAUGUGGCACCUUCGGGGUGUUUAUGCGCCUCUGGUCAUGUAUACCGUGGCUGGGAGUGGACAGCGCUGCACGCCGCUAUGGACGGGGUUC
rnacentral:rRNA from 1 species